AACCAAAGCCAAGGGUAGGUUGGUCACCUCAGAAAAAAAAGAAAAAAAAAAUAGAGUGAGAGAGUGUGUUGGGAUAACUUAAAAGAGGCGACAAUGGCGUUUGAGGCUUUUGAGAGCUCUCUUAAAACUCUUGAAAUGCUUAAUGGCUUGGCGUCAACUCUCUUUAGAGCUCGUCCUGUUAUACUCUACACUUUCAUCUCAAGAUUUUCGCCUAACAGUCAUGGUUUUCUUACUAUUACUCCUACUAGGCUCUUCACACCUGCAGCUAGUUUGAGGAGAGAUGAAAAUAAGGAGGUGGAUGAUUAUGCUGAACUGAAGGAGAAAGUGGAGAAUUUUGGUAUAUGCUGCAAUUCUGUUACUCCUGAAGAAUACACAAGAUUAAUGUGUCCCAAGUGUAAAGGUGGUCGGUCAAUGGAAAAGAGUUUAUCAUUUCAUAUGUCCUCGAAAAGGAAUUCUGCAUUAUGGAGGUGUUUCAAUAUUGACUGUGGAUGGGCAGGCCAGAUCCCACACAAUAGUGCGGCAUCUGAUGGGGUCCAUCAACGUGGCAGAAUAAAUUUUCCUCGGAUACUUACAGAGGAAAGCUUGAACUUAGAACCAUUAGGUGAUAUGCUGGCUGCAUAUUUUUCUAAGAGGAUGAUAUCAAUGAAUACUUUGAAGAGAAAUCAUGUCAUGCAAAUGGCUGGUGAUCAGAUCAUCAUUGCCUUCACUUAUAGACGGAAUGGUAUGCUCAUCGGCUGCAAGUAUAGGACUCUUGAGAAAAGGUUUUGGCAGGAGAAGGGUGCUGAUAAGGUACUAUAUGGACUGGAUGAUGUAAGAGAAGCAGAUGAGAUCAUCAUUGUAGAAGGUGAAAUAGAUAAGCUUUCAGUGGAAGAAGCUGGAUUUCCUAACUGUGUCAGUGUUCCUAAUGGUGCACCACAGGGCAUCGCAUCCAAAGAACUGCUACCACUGGAAGAGGAUUAUAUUUCCAGCUUAAUAGUUCUUCUUGCACCUGAAGACAGGAUACCAGAUUUUCAUACCUGUGGAACUGCAAUGAGUGCUUGGAGAAGGCGUCCCGGAUUGUGCUGGCAACUGAUGGUGAUUUACCAGGCCAAGCAUUGGCUGAAGAGCUUGCCCGCCGUCUGGGGAAAGAAAGGUGUUGGCAAGUAUGUUGGCCGAAAAAGAAUGAGUUAAGCAGUUAUAAAGAUGCAAAUGAGGUACUUGUUAAUCUGGGAAGAGAAGCUCUGAAAGAAGCGAUUGAAUGUGCCGUGCCAUAUGAAAUGCAGAAUUUGAACUAAUCCACAAAGUUUUUAGUCUUAAGAGAUAUCUUUCCAACAUUACUUGACCCUCUCCUCGAGACUUUAUGCAUCUGUAAGUAACAUUACUCAAGAUGAAAACGCGAAGCAAUUUUUGUCAACACCUAGAUUUUCCUUUUCAAAAGUUUCAUAUUCUCCUCUAGAAAUCUUGGACUUGGAUUUCUCAAAAUAGUGUGCUUAAAUAGGUGACAGGUUGGUUGAUGAAAUGUUUCAUUGUUUACUUGGAAUGAAGGUUCUUUGUACAUAGCAUAUUUACCAUACAAGGUACCUUAUUAUAAAGAUGCUUGGAGGAAUGAAAUGCAAUUGGCUUGGCCACAGGUUUGGGAGAUUUGAAUUUGUUAUAAUGUAUAUUUGAUAUUUUCAUCUAUUAUUUGUUUCAAAUAAUGUUAGUGUAUGUCUCCAACUCCUAAUAGCUAGAGGUGUAACGCAUAAUGAUCUCUUAUGACUACUUACGAAUUGAAUAGAAGAAAAUAUCUUGAAAUGAAAUAAGUUGAAUGAUUGAAUAA